GGCGCAGAGAGCAGGCUGGGGCAGUCCUCCCCGAGAUGGCGAGUCUGACAACGGCAGUCCCGCAGCCUGGCGUUUUGCUGAUCUUCUUGCUCAACCUCCUCCAUCCCGCGCAGCCUGGAGGGGUUCCAGGAGCUGUGCCCGGUGGAGUUCCUGGCGGAGUCCCUGGCGGAGUCUAUUAUCCAGGGGCUGGUAUCGGAGGACUGGGUGGAG